rnacentral:misc_RNA from 1 species
GAUGAAGAACGUAGCGAAAUGCGAUAAGUAAUGUGAAUUGCAGAAUUCAGUGAAUCAUCGAAUCUUUGAACGCACAUUGCGCCCCCUGGUAUUCCGGGGGGCAUGCCUGUUCGAGCGUCAUUUCACCACUCAAGCCUCGCUUGGUAUUGGGCAACGCGGUCCGCCGCGUGCCUCAAAUCGACCGGCUGGGUCUUCUGUCCCCUAAGCGUUGUGGAAACUAUUCGCUAAAGGGUGCUCGGGAGGCUACGCCGUAAAACAAACCCAUUUCUAAGGUUGACCUCGGAUCAGGUAGGGAUACCCGCUGAACUUAAGCAUAUCAAUAAGCGGGGA